rnacentral:lncRNA from 1 species
CCUUUGCAAGUUGUUCUGUGAGCGCAAAAUGGAAGAAGCUCUGGUGAACACUGCCUGUGCUGGGAUAAAUCACCAGGAUAUUAAUGUUCAGGGUUAGGAAAUGCCCUGGCCCUGAAGCAUCCAGGAGUGGGAGAGGCUGUGUGGCCAAGCCACGUGUUCUGAGUCUGUCGGAGGAACACCUUUGCACGUCAGCAGGAAGCUGGCUUCCAGGACUUGGCUGGAACACUGCAGACUCAUUCAGAGAAUAAAGAAAAUCCAUCUGCCCACAAGGCCCCAUGUGAGUAGUGGGAAGCCACCUCAGGUACCCAGAAUUGGAGGCGGAGGACAGCAGGACCAGGAGAGGCGGAGCCAAGAUGGCCUGAGAACCUUGUUAGUAGGGACUCAACACUAGGCAGAUCCCAGAGGUGCCUUAACAAUGGCUUCAGGGUCUGCCAUGCCCUGCAGGUCUGGAUGAAAGUGAUAAGCAUAUAGUUGGUAAUGACUGUGAAGUCAGACUUGGAUUUGAAAUUGUCUUUAGGUUUUUUUCUUUUCUUGGUACGAGGAAUUGAACUUUGGACCUUGCGCUUUUGAGGCAGGCACCAGAACCACUGAGCUAAACCCCUGGCCCUCAGACUUGGAUUUGAAUCUGCUCUACACACAUGGCUCACCUAGAGCCUUAUCCUGGCACCAACCCCUUCCUGUCUCAGCUUCCUGGGAAUGACCAGCCUUCCUUUCCAGUAAAGGAAAAGACACUGGAACACAGGAACUGGGUGAGUUGUAAUUGUGUCUUGCUUUGGAUCAUAAAGAAGUGAGAAUGUUGUGCCUGAGAUGCACUGACUUCAUGCUUGCUAACAGGACAUUGGUCAUGACCGUGAAAGAGGCCCAGUGGCUGAUGUAACCCACUGCAUCUUGUGUCAUGCUAAGUCAUUCUCUCCUGUGGGCACCUUGGCUUCCAGGAGCUACAAAUCUGAUCGACAGAUAUUUUGUGACAAGACUCAAAGCCCCCCACCCCCCGCCCCGCCCCGCCCCAGGCAGCAGCAAC